rnacentral:rRNA from 1 species
AACGAACGCUGGCGGCAGGCUUAACACAUGCAAGUCGAGCGCAUCCUUCGGGGUGAGCGGCGGACGGGUGAGUAACGCGUGGGAACGUGCCCUCUUCUACGGAAUAGCCUCGGGAAACUGAGAGUAAUGCCGUAUACGCCCGCAAGGGGAAAGAUUUAUCGGAAGAGGAUCGGCCCGCGUUGGAUUAGGUAGUUGGUGGGGUAACGGCCUACCAAGCCGACGAUCCAUAGCUGGUUUGAGAGGAUGAUCAGCCACACUGGGACUGAGACACGGCCCAGACUCCUACGGGAGGCAGCAGUGGGGAAUCUUGGACAAUGGGGGCAACCCUGAUCCAGCCAUGCCGCGUGAUCGAUGAAGGCCUUAGGGUUGUAAAGAUCUUUCAGCUGGGAAGAUAAUGACGGUACCAGCAGAAGAAGCCCCGGCUAACUCCGUG